GUAGGUGGCAAGCGUUGUCCGGAAUUAUUGGGCGUAAAGCGCGCGCAGGCGGUCCUUUAAGUCUGAUGUGAAAGCCCACGGCUCAACCGUGGAGGGUCAUUGGAAACUGAGGGACUUGAGUACAGAAGAGGAAAGCGGAAUUCCACGUGUAGCGGUGAAAUGCGUAGAGAUGUGGAGGAACACCAGUGGCGAAGGCGGCUUUCUGGUCUGUAACUGACGCUGAGGCGCGAAAGCGUGGGGAGCAAACAGGGAUUAGAUACCCUGGUAGUCCACGCCGUAAACGAUGAGUGCUAAGUGUUAGGGGGUUUCCGCCCCCUUAGUGCUGCAGCUAACGCAUUAAGCACUCCGCCUGGGGAGUACGACCGCAAGGUUG
rnacentral:rRNA from 1 species